GGACUACUAGGGUUUCUAAUCCUGUUUGAUCCCCACGCUUUCGCGCCUCAGCGUCAGUUACAGCCCAGUUGGCCGCCUUCGCCACCGGUGUUCCUCCCAAUAUCUACGAAUUUCACCUCUACACUGGGAAUUCCACCAACCUCUACUGCACUCUAGCCUAACAGUUUCAAAUGCACUUCCGGAGUUAAGCCCCGGGAUUUCACAUCUGACUUGUUAAGCCGCCUACGCGCCCUUUACGCCCAGUAAUUCCGAACAACGCUAGCACCCCCUGUAUUACCGCGGCUGCUGGCAC
rnacentral:rRNA from 1 species